UCUCUCUCUCUCUCUCUCUCUCUCUCUCUCUCUCUCUCUCUCUCUCUCUCUCUCUCUCUCUCUCUCUCUCUCUCUCAGAAACAUAAACAACUUCUCUCACACAAUAUUAACUACUGUGGUAUGUCAGGCGGUAGAAAGCACGAAUCAUUUACUUUCUAGGCAAAUAAAUCAGAAGAAACUUAAGAGUGUGCAGAUUGUAUUAACUCAAAUGAACUGUAUUACAGUAAGAUAUUAACUUGCAGAAUGUGAUAUUCCAGUCAAAUGAAAGUGAUUACAAGCAUGACUACUAAAAGCAUAAUCACUACAAUGCCAUUAUGCUCUAAUGUUCUACUCUGAAAGAGCAAAAGGUUCCACAACCGACGUCCUCUCCUCGGACAUGUUGAGUUAUUACAUGACGAGUCCCGUGUGUCUCUUUGUCCCUGACAAGUCUUUCCUCCUGUCUUGUGCACCCAUGUCUUUGUCUGUCCCACUAACCCUGACUGUCACCACUCUGUAUAUCUGUCUAAUGUAUCAGUUUCUUGUAGAUUGUCAGCAGCCUGCUUCCUCUGCCUCAGUAUCGCCACUCUCCCCACCACUAAGGAGAGUCUCCCUAGUCCACAGUCCGAGUCCUAACAUUGUGACGGCCCUCCAGGAGGACCAGACACCAACCUUCUCCAGCCAUUCCCCCUCAAUGGCCCAGCAGCCUCGCCCCCAAGGCCCCUAGGACUCGAGCACCCACACCCAUGGACCCGGCCCUCACGGAGGCACACAGCACUAAGGACACCUGUCUCUCAUCUCCCUCAACCUGGCACCCCAUCCUGGUGCCUAGUCUUUGUGUCCCCUCAGCAAGCCCCUCCUCCACAUACCACACUUUCUCCCGGUUGGUGAGGUUACAGAGCAAGUUCGGGAUACUCCUCAUUGGUUGGGCUGGAAUAAAAUCACAUCCUGUCCACAAGAGAGAGACUGGCGGACCGGACAGCAGGGCAAACACCAGAGUGACAAAUUGACUUAAACAAUGUCCUGUAUCUAUAUGAUUAUUUAUGAUCUAUUUAGCUGACUUAUCUAUUUAACUGGUUAUUUAUUGAUUUGUGUUUGUUCAUCCAUUUAUUCAUUUGAAUUUGCAUGUGAUAUCAUCUGAUUGUUUCUUGGCCAUUCUUUGAAAAUGGAAUUCAAGAUGUGUAUUAUUGCUGUGGUACUUGGACUUAAAUAAUGAGGAUUGAUUUAGCUCAGAUUCAUUCAACUAUGGCUGUUAUGUCCUUAUUGCAAUCUUUUAAAAAAAUAAAAAAAUCGAUAGAACAAAAACCUCUUUCCCAAUUGAAUAUAACAAGGUUUUGUGUGGUCUAUAUCCUACAAGUGUAGCCAGAAAUGUUCCGUCAAUAACAGCGUUUCUUUUUGGUAACGUGAAAGGCUUACAAACUUGCCUAACAGACUAGACAGAAUAUUAGACCUAAAAGCAUCUGUUUGUAAGCAUAAUCUCUACAUGUGUAAGUGGUUCUGUCUUUUCUACCAUGGUCAUGUUAAAGAAUACAUUGAAUUUGACAUCAACGUGGAAAGACUAAUUGAAUGGAUGUGAUAUUGCAUUACAAGGAUAAUGUUUGAUGAGAUGGGCGUUCUUGAUUUCAAUGACCAAUCUAACGUAACUACACUUGAGAUGCUUGUUUUUAUACAACUUUUUUGCAAAAGGCAUAAAGAUUAUAUUUUUUACUUCAGUUCUUUUUUUUUUUACUGCUGAGGCGAUUGGUUAUGUUUGUCAUGGAGUUGAGAUCGUACUUGACAUAGAGACUCGAGACUAAGGUAGGAGAUGAGGAAGUGAGGUCUAGGUCUGUAGGCCUGGAUGUGGCCUUUUGAAUUGCACAGGUUUGACUUGACCAUGACAUGUGUGACAUGACACCCCUUGGUUUAGUUUUUUACACAGUUCAGAUAACACAUUGCCCCGGUAGUACCAUGUUUCUGUCGAAGGACAUUCGAAUUGGCUCGUCUUAAGCUUCAUGUUGUUUAUGUACAAGGGAUCGCUUGUUUCACUCUGUCUAACCCAAAAGAGAUGACAGUAAUCAGGCAUUUUAACUCGGUAUGGACUAAAUAGGUUCAAACUAAAGGUAAGCUACUCUCUCCUCCAAACAUCCUUCUUUACAAGCACAAUUAGGACUAUCUACUGAAGCAACAACACUGGACAUGACUUUGUUUAUAUUUGGUUGGAUGCUCUGUCAGGUCCAAUGACUGUGGUGAGAUCUCUGUCCAGGCAUCUCUCUUCCCGGUUAACAGAGCCAUAAAUAUCUCUACUCUGCCGGAUGUAAUAACAUCACACUAACCAGCAAAACGAAAACGGGGAUAAAUCCCAAAGGCUUCCAGGAGACCGGGUGUAUUUUGUGAGUCAUCCCUACACCUUCAGAUCAAUUUGCAUUGAGGUUUGGUGAUCUGGCGAAGCAGACUUUUUUAUGUUCUUUGUUGAAACAUUAAUUCAAGGUGAGCCUAGAUCCAAACUGUCUGAUCAUGUUGAUAAUGUAAUCUACCUAAUGUUGCAUGAAUCAUUUACCUGAUUUACAUUCUCUCUCUCUCUCUCUCAAAUCAAAUAAUGAUUAUGUCUUAUGUUUGACUAAACAGGUUUAUUGAGGGGCAAUCUGAACAUCUAGUUUCUUAUGGAUAUGAGCCAGAGGCAUUAAGACAGAUUUUUCUUACAGUUCUACAUGAAUUGAAUCACACCAUAAGGGUGGAUUCUGGUAUUCUGGUAAGAUGUGUAUAGUAGCCAUAAAGAACAAUCACCCUUGGAAUCCACACAAUAAGCACAGGUGAAAGCAUGUUAAAUGGCAGUGGAGAAUGGGUAUGCUACUUCUAUACUGUAUACAUGUUUACAUUGAUUUGAUUUCUGUCUAUGUUUGUGGAAUCACUUGUUUUCAUUCUAAAACCUUCGGUGGAACGGUAGAGUAUGAAAGAUAUGUGUGAGGUCCAAAGCUAGUCUAGUGUACGACUGGUGUCUAUCUAUGGAGAAUAAUUUACCCUACUGCCUUGGUUCUCUGCACAGGUUAACUUUAUCAGUGGAAGAUUGUGAUACAGAGGGCAAUGUUAGAAGCCGGUAACAAGCCCCCNNNNNNNNNNACCUGAACGCCAUCAUCAGGGAUCAGAUCAAACACCUGCAGAGAGCCGUGGACCGCUCCCUCCAGCUGUCUCGACAGAGGGCAGCCGCCCGGGAGCUGGCCCCCUUGUUCGACAAGGACAAGGAGGCCUGCAUGGAGGAAAUCCUCAAGCUCAAGUCCCUCCUCAGCACCAAGAGGGAGCAGAUUGCCACGCUCAGGCUGGUGCUCAAAGCCAACAAACAGGUGAGAAGAGCAGAGAACUGAGUACCUAGCC
rnacentral:lncRNA from 13 species